AGCAGCCACACCAAGAGGAAAAUCAGCAGAGCUCCAGCCACCAUGCCCGUCACUGCUCCUGCUAUCAUGCCGAUGCUCUGUACAUCUGUUUUCUCAGAAACAAAAGCAGAGGUUGAAGGAUGAAAAAUAGAAGCUCAAAGAGGUUCAGCAGUGCGUUCAAGGUCACAUGGUGAGUUGCUGACCAAACGAGACUCCAAGUUCAAGGCUAGAGUACCAUUCUGUUGUCUCAGCAGACUGGUGGAGAGAUGACUUACCAAUCCUGGACUUGGGAGGGAGACGCUCAUCCUCUCCCUCCUUCUCCCGGAGUCGCUGCCAGUAAUACAUGAUGGGCUUUGUGCCAGAGGCUGACUCACACUGCAGAGUCACGUCACUUCCUUCUGUCAGCUCUCCUUCCAACUCGCAUUUGGGCUUUGAUGGUCUCACUGGCAAAAGGAAAAAGCUUCAAAGAUAGCCAAACACCCAAUUCAGUGGAAGAACCGUGUCCCGUUGAGCUGUUUCUCUAGCCGUCUGUUACGGUCCACUGCUGAGUGGGUCUUUCGGGACAGAAACCCAUUCACUUGGACGCAAUUAAAUAGAACUUAGUAGCUUUUGCUGCCAGAAACCAGAAAUGGGACUUGAAUCGUAUCUGAGAGAUGUAAGAACGUACUUCUUCCCAGGAAACUGGACUAUGGAGCAUUUGGCUGUUCCUCACAGAGACCGUAUUAAUGAGAUGGAGGUGUUCACCUUGGCACUCUAGCUUACCUAAGACUUUCAAGAUGACAUG